CCUGCAGACUGAUACACCCCACAGGUAAGCUUCAGACUGUUUUUAAUCAUAUAUUUUAUGUUUUUGUAUCAUUUAAGGUAUUCUAUGGUUAUAUAAUUUAUGGGAAUCUGGUUUACCAAUUAUUUAGGAUAGUUAAAAUGUAUAUACUCUACUUAAUAUUUAAAACAAAUAUUAUAUGAACAAUAUUAUCCUAGCAUCAAUCAUUAUUCUACUGGUUUAACUUCCAUAAACCAUUUUUCUAAAAUAAUUUCAUGCACAUUAUCUUGCUGUUUCUUCAACAGUAUGUUGUACAACUUGUAUUUAGGUUUAUUUAUUGAUAUUUCAGAGUUUCGUUAUGACCUUGUGCUGGGAGUGAACUUGGAAGAGACGGCUAUUUCUCGCGUUGCUAACCAAGUAUCAGUUCAACUCAGAAGUCUUGACAACUGUGUCAUACUUAAUGUUUUAAAGGUGAAUCAUAAGCCAAGCUCUAAACCACUGAUGGUCUGACUUUGACAGUUGAAGCUCCUGAAAACACCUGAGACUGAUAGAGACAGCUCUGGUUCGGCCUGAUGCUCAAUGAUGAUGACCACAGCCAUAGAUGGAAAGUGGUGGGAAUCUGCGAUGAUCAUGGCCUGCAAAUUUGAGCCCCAUGCCAGACCCUACUUUUGUUUGGCCAGAAACUCAAAAAAAAAAAAAGAAUGGAUGUAGUUAUCUGCCACUAAACACAGAAAACAUUAAAGAUUAAAUAAUUGUAUUGCCAGUCUGACUUCUUGGCUGCACUGCUUGCUGUAUAAUCUUGCUGACCAGUUAACUUUAAAUAGUAAUCAUGUAUUUUUAUAAUUUUCCUGGUUAUAUAUACAGUAUAUAUACACUUUUAUUUCGAUAAAUUUUUGUUUUCACAUUUCUACUGCUUUUGUGCUAAAAUGGACUAAAACUUAUUUCUUUACAUUUUCUUAUGUCUCUGUUUAGGGCUAAUCGUUUUUUUUUUCCGUAAAGCGGCUUUGCAACAAUGCAAAAUUGUGAAAGGUAUUAAUAUGUACAAAUAUAUUGAAUGUUGCGUUACAUUUAAUGGUGUGACUAGUAGGAAA